ACUCCGUGAAGCUGGAUUCGCUAGUAAUCGCGCAUCAGCCACGGCGCGGUGAAUACGUUCCCGGGCCUUGUACACACCGCCCGUCAAGCCAUGGAAGCCGGGAGUGCCUGAAGUGUGCAACCGCAAGGAGCGCCUAAGGUAAAACCGGUGACUGGGGCUAAGUCGUAACAAGGUACC
rnacentral:rRNA from 1 species